UACGUAGGCAGCGAGCGUUGUUCGGAGUUACUGGGCGUAAAGGGUGUGUAGGCGGUUGUUUAAGUUUGGUGUGAAAUCUCCCGGCUCAACUGGGAGGGUGCGCCGAAUACUGAGCGACUAGAGUGCGGGAGAGGAAAGUGGAAUUCCUGGUGUAGCGGUGAAAUGCGUAGAUAUCAGGAGGAACACCUGUGGCGAAGGCGGCUUUCUGGGCCCUACCUGACGCUGAGACGCGAAAGCGUGGGGAGCGAACCGG
rnacentral:rRNA from 1 species